GGACAGUCAUGGGAUGCGCGAGGCUGCUUAAAUUUCAUCAAACGUUGUAAUAAUAACGACGUAAUAAGCCAUGUCCUAACAUCAAAGUACGCCCAUGGUCGCGUCGUCUGGCCCGUGCAUUUAGUGUCCAGCUGUUUCAACUGGCUGGUAAUGUAAAAAAAAAAAAAAAUCACAGGGUGUACAUUCAUUGAAGAGACCGGCAUGAGGACGUGCUGAGAAUAAAAGUAUGGAGGGCUUCAGCGGUACAGACACGGUUUGAUUAGAUUAAACAUGUCAAUUCCAAUUCAAAGACGCCGCGGUUGGACAUCACAUAUUUAUCUCGUAUAGCAAUACUGUGUGGUGCCUGGGCUUCUUUCUAGAGUGGAUUCUUAGAGAGAGAAGUAAUUCCUUUGCCUGCGCAUGUCAUUGUAGAACUGACUCCUGUGAACUGUAUCCCUCUCGAUGGAUUGGACAUUAUGCUGGAUUUCAAGCAGAAGAUGACUCAAGAGGAGCUGAAUGGCAGUUUGAUCAUGACAACACACCUCCCACAGCUAUACAUUUGUUCUCUGAACUUACUGUAUGUUUCUUUGGAAUGGCAAUUUUAUCAUGACCACAUCACCCAUCAUCUGCUGAUCAUCAGUUCUCUUAGCUACAAAUUGAUACACCCGACAAUGUGAUUUAACCAAAUAUGUUUGGUAUCUAUUACUGGGAGUUACAGGAUAGGUACUGUUUGGUGUAGCACAGCAUUUUUGAUGGUGUCUUCAUCCUCGGUUUGUGGAAACAGGAGUCUCAGAAAAUGUCCAUGUCCAGUUGCAGGGGUUCAGUUUGAGUUUAGAAAAUGCUCAUUUAUUGUAACAAAUACUUAGCUAU